GACGAACGCUGGCGGCGUGCUUAACACAUGCAAGUCGAACGGAAAGGCCUCUUUCGGGGGGUACUCGAGUGGCGAACGGGUGAGUAACACGUGAGUAACCUGCCCUUGACUUUGGGAUAACUUCAGGAAACUGGGGCUAAUACCGGAUAGGAGCUCCUGCUGCAUGGUGGGGGUUGGAAAGUUUCGGCGGUUGGGGAUGGACCCGCGGCUUAUCAGCUUGUUGGUGGGGUAGUGGCUUACCAAGGCUUUGACGGGUAGCCGGCCUGAGAGGGUGACCGGCCACAUUGGGACUGAGAUACGGCCCAGACUCCUACGGGAGGCAGCAGUGGGGAAUAUUGCACAAUGGGUGGAAGCCUGAUGCAGCAACGCCGUGUGCGGGAUGACGGCCUUCGGGUUGUAAACCGCUUUCGCUCAUGACGAAGCUUUGUGUGACGGUAGUGGGUAAAGAAGCACCGGCUAACUACGUG
rnacentral:rRNA from 1 species